CCUUCGGGCCUGGCGCGAUUGGAUGAGCCCAUGUCGGAUUAGCUAGUUGGCGGGGUAAUGGCCCACCAAGGCGACGAUCCGUAGCUGGUCUGAGAGGAUGAUCAGCCACACUGGAACUGAGACACGGUCCAGACUCCUACGGGAGGCAGCAGUAGGGAAUAUUGGACAAUGGGCGCAAGCCUGAUCCAGCCAUGCCGCGUGAGUGAAGAAGGCCCUCGGGUUGUAAAGCUCUUUUGUCCGGAAAGAAAAGCGCCGGGUUAAUACCCUGGUGUCCUGACGGUACCGGAAGAAUAAGCACCGGCUAACUUCGUG
rnacentral:rRNA from 1 species